rnacentral:hammerhead_ribozyme from 1 species
GCACUGCUGAGGAGUCCUAUAAUAGGACGAAACGGCCGUCCACUGU